rnacentral:rRNA from 1 species
GACGAACGCUGGCGGCGUGCUUAACACAUGCAAGUCGAACGGAAAGGCCCUGCUUUUGUGGGGUGCUCGAGUGGCGAACGGGUGAGUAACAAGUGAGUAACCUGCCCUUGACUUUGGGGUAACUUCAGGAAACUGGGGCUAAUACCGGAUAGGAGCUCCUGCUGCAUGGGGGGGGUUGGAAAGUUUCGGCGGUUGGGGAUGGACUCGCGGCUUAUCAGCUUGUUGGUGGGGUAGUGGCUUACCAAGGCUUUGACGGGUAGCCGGCCUGAGAGGGUGACCGGCCACAUUGGGACUGAGAUACGGCCCAGACUCCUACGGGAGGCAGCAGUGGGGAAUAUUGCACAAUGGGCGGAAGCCUGAUGCAGCAACGCCGCGUGCGGGAUGACGGCCUUCGGGUUGUAAACCGCUUUCGCCUGUGACGAAGCGUGAGUGACGGUAAUGGGUAAAGAAGCACCGGCUAACUACGUG